rnacentral:rRNA from 1 species
GGAACCUACGGGGCGCAGCAGUGGGGAAUAUUGCACAAUGGGGGAAACCCUGAUGCAGCAACGCCGCGUGAAGGAAGACGGUUUUCGGAUUGUAAACUUCUGUUCUUAGUGAAGAAAAAUGACGGUAGCUAAGGAGCAAGCCACGGCUAACUACGUGCCAGCAGCCGCGGUAAUACGUAGGUGGCAAGCGUUGUCCGGAAUUACUGGGUGUAAAGGGAGCGCAGACGGCAGUGCAAGUCUGGAGUGAAAGCCCGGGGCCCAACCCCGGAACUGCUCUGGAAACUGUGCGGCUAGAGUACUGGAGG